rnacentral:rRNA from 1 species
UACGUAGGGGGCAAGCGUUGUCCGGAUUUAUUGGGCGUAAAGAGCGUGUAGGCGGCCUGGCAAGUCCGCUGUGAAAACUCGAGGCUUAACCUCGAGACGUCGGUGGAAACUGCCUGGCUAGAGUCCGGAAGAGGAGGAGUGGAAUUCCCGGUGUAGCGGUGAAAUGCGCAGAUAUCGGGAAGAACACCCGUGGCGAAGGCGGCUCUCUGGGACGGUACUGACGCUGAGA